rnacentral:rRNA from 1 species
UGGUGGGAUACUACCCUCGUUGUAUGAACACUCUAACCCUCGCCGGCAAUCACGGCGGGAGACAGUGUCAGGUGGGCAGUUUGACUGGGGCGGUCGCCUCCUAAAAGGUAACGGAGGCGCCCAAAGGGUCCUUCAGAAUGGUUGGAAAUCAUUCGCAGAGUGUAAAGGCAUAAAGGAGCUUGACUGCGAGACCUACAAGUCGAGCAGGGACGAAAGUCGGGCUUAGUGAUCCGGUG